CGGACGGGUGAGUAACGCGUGAGAAUCUCCCUUCAGGAUGGGGACAACCGUUGGAAACGACGGCUAAUCCCCAAUGUGCCGAGAGGUGAAAGGGUUUCCGCCUGAAGAAGAGCUCGCGUCCGAUUAGUUAGUUGGUGAGGUAAGAGCUCACCAAGGCAGCGAUCGGUAGCUGGUCUGAGAGGAUGAGCAGCCACACUGGGACUGAGACACGGCCCAGACUCCUACGGGAGGCAGCAGUGGGGAAUUUUCCGCAAUGGGCGAAAGCCUGACGGAGCAACGCCGCGUGUGGGAAGAAGGCUCUUGGGCUGUCAACCACUUUUCUCAGGGAAGAAGUUCUGACGGUACCUGAGGAAUCAGCCUCGGCUAACUCCGUGCCAGCAGCCGCGGUAAUACGGAGGAGGCAAGCGUUAUCCGGAAUUAUUGGGCGUAAAGCGUCCGCAGGGGGCGCAUCAAGUCUGCUGUUAAAGGCUGGAGCUUAACUCCGGUAGAGCAGUGGAAACUGGUGCGCUAGAGGGCGACAGGGGUAGAGGGAAUUCCCAGUGUAGCGGUGAAAUGCGUAGAGAUUGGGAAGAACACCGGUGGCGAAAGCGCUCUACUGGGUCGCACCUGACCCUCAGGGACGAAAGCUAAGGUAGCGAAUGGGAUUAGAUACCCCAGUAGUC
rnacentral:rRNA from 1 species